AAUUCAUCAACCAUGUCGUCGACAUAUGCGACAUGGCUUGGACUUGGGAGCUGCCGGUCAGUCAUGAUCGGCUCUCCUGAAAUACAUUAGUGGAGGGAUGGAGACUAGCGUUUCUUUGGCCUUGGACGUGUUAAACCCUCGCCCUGGCUGGAGUGUCGCUACGCUCUCGAACCGGUCUGCUUCGAACACUAUAUAUCGAGAUCAGUUACUACCAGCAUGGACGAACGCGGCUCGAACUUCAAACGUCGAGCUUAGCUAUUAGUCUGGAUGGGAACACGGUCUCAAUUCAUUUGGAA
rnacentral:misc_RNA from 1 species